rnacentral:rRNA from 1 species
UACGUAGGGGGCUAGCGUUGUUCGGAUUUACUGGGCGUAAAGCGCACGUAGGCGGAUCUUUAAGUCAGAGGUGAAAUCCCAAGGCUCAACCUUGGAACUGCCUUUGAUACUGGGGAUCUUGAGUCCGGGAGAGGUGAGUGGAACUGCGAGUGUAGAGGUGAAAUUCGUAGAUAUUCGCAAGAACACCAGUGGCGAAGGCGGCUCACUGGCCCGGUACUGACGCUGAGGUGCGAAAGCGUGGGGAGCAAACAGG